AGCGAACGCUGGCGGCGUGCUUAACACAUGCAAGUCGAGCGGUAAGGCUCCUUCGGGAGUACACGAGCGGCGAACGGGUGAGUAACACGUGAGCAAUCUGCCCUUCACUUUGGGAUAAGCACCGGAAACGGUGUCUAAUACCGAAUACGACCACUUCCGGCAUCGGAUGGUGGUGGAAAGUUCCGGCGGUGAAGGAUGAGCUCGCGGCCUAUCAGCUUGUUGGUGGGGUAACGGCCCACCAAGGCUUCGACGGGUAGCCGGCCUGAGAGGGUGACCGGCCACACUGGGACUGAGACACGGCCCAGACUCCUACGGGAGGCAGCAGUGGGGAAUAUUGGACAAUGGGCGAAAGCCUGAUCCAGCAACGCCGCGUGAGGGAUGACUGCCUUCGGGUUGUAAACCUCUUUCAGCAGGGACGAAGCGAAAGUGACGGUACCUGCAGAAGAAGCACCGGCCAACUACGUGCCAGCCGCCGCAGUAACAC
rnacentral:rRNA from 1 species